rnacentral:pre_miRNA from 1 species
UAUAUACUCCCUCCGUCCGGAAAUACUUGUCGGAAAAAUGGAUGUAUCUAGAUGUAUUUUAGUUCUAGAUGCAUCUAUUUUUAUCCAUUUCUCCGACGAGUAUUUUCGGACGGAGGGAGUAUAUC